AAGGAGGGAUGCUCAGUAAGUCACGCUUUUAUAUGAUAAAUUCCAAUUUGCUACAGUCCCUAAUCCUUUAUAUGCUGCAGCGCUGCUUUCAUGUGCUCAGUCUGUCCUGGUGAGAAACUACUAUAGGCUGCACAAAAAUGUGUGCAUCAAUAGGAGUUGCCCAUUUCAUUGCAUAUAUAAUUUCUUAGGAUUUUGUUUUUCUGAAUAUUGUCAAAAAGGCAUUUGCCACCAACGAUGCAUCUUUUGGGUGAGAGAUUACUAAUGUUGUUGGAUACCCAAAACAAUGGGCUAGAGUUUGAAAACAGGAAUGCCAUAAUCAAAUUGUAUAAACUUAUUGGGGCUUUCAAAGAUGACCUCAAUCAUUGUAGCAUUAGCUAGAUACAUAAUAAGCUACUUGUUGGAUAAAGCUCAAAUUAAAUAUAUUGAUUGAAAAUUUUUAUUUUUAUUUAUAUAUUUUCACAGAAGCUUCUG
rnacentral:misc_RNA from 1 species